UGAACGCUGGCGGCAGGCUUAACACAUGCAAGUCGAGCGGAAACGAUGAUAGCUUGCUAUCAGGCGUCGAGCGGCGGACGGGUGAGUAAUACUUAGGAAUCUACCUAGUAGUGGGGGAUAGCACGGGGAAACUCGUAUUAAUACCGCAUACGUCCUACGGGAGAAAGGGGGCAACUUGUUGCUCUCGCUAUUAGAUGAGCCUAAGUCGGAUUAGCUAGAUGGUGGGGUAAAGGCCUACCAUGGCGACGAUCUGUAGCUGGUCUGAGAGGAUGAUCAGCCACACCGGGACUGAGACACGGCCCGGACUCCUACGGGAGGCAGCAGUGGGGAAUAUUGGACAAUGGGGGAAACCCUGAUCCAGCCAUGCCGCGUGUGUGAAGAAGGCCUUUUGGUUGUAAAGCACUUUAAGCAGUGAAGAAGACUCUUCGGUUAAUACCCGGAGACGAUGACAUUAGCUGCAGAAUAAGCACCGGCUAACUCUGUGCCAGCAGCCGCGGUAAUACAGAGGGUGCAAGCGUUAAUCGGAAUUACUGGGCGUAAAGCGAGCGUAGGUGGCUUGAUAAGUCAGAUGUGAAAUCCCCGGGCUUAACCUGGGAACUGCAUCUGAAACUGUUAGGCUAGAGUAGGUGAGAGGGAAGUAGAAUUUCAGGUGUAGCGGUGAAAUGCGUAGAGAUCUGAAGGAAUACCGAUGGCGAAGGCAGCUUCCUGGCAUCAUACUGACACUGAGGCUCGAAAGCGUGGGUAGCAAACAGGAUUAGAUACCCUGGUAGUCCACGCCGUAAA
rnacentral:rRNA from 1 species